AUUGAACGCUGGCGGCAUGCCUUACACAUGCAAGUCGAACGGCAGCACGGGUGCUUGCACCUGGUGGCGAGUGGCGAACGGGUGAGUAAUACAUCGGAACAUGUCCUGUAGUGGGGGAUAGCCCGGCGAAAGCUGGAUUAAUACCGCAUACGAUCUACGGAUGAAAGCGGGGGACCUUCGGGCCUCGCGCUAUAGGGUUGGCCGAUGGCUGAUUAGCUAGUUAGUGGGGUAAAGGCCUACCAAGGCGACGAUCAGUAGCUGGUCGGAGAGGACGACCGGCCACACUGGGACUGAGCCACGGCCCAGACUCCUACGGGAGGCAGCAGUGGGGAAUGUUGGACAAUGGGCGAAAGCCUGAUCCAGCAAUGCCGCGUGUGUGAAGAAGGCCUUCGGGGUGUAAAGCACUUUUGUCCGGAAAGAAAUCCUUGGCCCUAAUACGGUCGGGGGAUGACGGUACCGGAAGAAUAAGCACCGGCUAACUACGUG
rnacentral:rRNA from 1 species